rnacentral:rRNA from 1 species
CGGACGGGUGAGUAAUGUCUGGGAAACUGCCUGAUGGAGGGGGAUAACUACUGGAAACGGUAGCUAAUACCGCAUAACGUCUUCGGACCAAAGUGGGGGACCUUCGGGCCUCACGCCAUCGGAUGUGCCCAGAUGGGAUUAGCUAGUAGGUGGGGUAAUGGCUCACCUAGGCGACGAUCCCUAGCUGGUCUGAGAGGAUGACCAGCCACACCGGAACUGAGGCACGGUCCAG